rnacentral:misc_RNA from 1 species
UGGUUUAAUUUAAUUGACGGGCUCCAUGUUUGUGCAUCGAACCGUUGAUUGAUAAAUCUCUUCAUUGGUUGUGCCAAGAGCUUUUGAGCCUUGCGCGAUUUGUUGGUUUUCUGUGUUGUAUUCCUAUCGACGGUAUGCUAUUUGAUAUAAAUCAUUGAUUUUCGCCAGCACUCUUGGUGUUUGGUGGACCUAAAGCUAGACUCGUUAUCUUGACACAAUGGCAUGUUUACACAGCGUUGUUGUUAUGUAGCACGAUGUKUUUAGUUGUGCCCUUGGGAUGCGGAAAGUUAAGUGGGGGUUAAGCGUUUUAAAUCGUUGUGUCCCUAAGUGAGCAUUUUUAUGCUAAAGCAUGAAAGACAACUGGUUGCGAGUUGGACCUCUGUAUCCAUUCGUGCUGGUGUCGCUGAAGGAAUGCUACCUGGUUGAUCCUGCCAGUAGUCAUAUGCUUGUCUCAAAGAUUAAGCCAUGCAUGUGUAAGUA